rnacentral:rRNA from 1 species
AAAUUGAAGAGUUUGAUCAUGGCUCAGAUUGAACGCUGGCGGCAGGCCUAACACAUGCAAGUCGAGCGGUAGCACAGAGGAGCUUGCUCCUCGGGUGACGAGCGGCGGACGGGUGAGUAAUGUCUGGGAAACUGCCUGAUGGAGGGGGAUAACUACUGGAAACGGUAGCUAAUACCGCAUAACGUCGCAAGACCAAAGAGGGGGACCUUCGGGCCUCUUGCCAUCAGAUGUGCCCAGAUGGGAUUAGCUAGUA